rnacentral:misc_RNA from 1 species
CAACAGCACCGCAAACGAGACAACAAAUGGAGUGAUGAUAACGAGCCAGAAGGCUCUAUUUAUAAACCCAGCUCGUCGAUAUUAUUUGAAAUGAGAAAAAAAGUUUAUGCUGAUUUUCCUGCGAUGACGUCCAUUGGUUUUGCGACCUUUACUAACUCCAGCCCUUGACUUUGUAUCCCAUUGCUACUCUAUAACAACGUGAUUUUGACAAGACAUAUACACUACUGU